rnacentral:lncRNA from 1 species
GUUCAGAGCCCGACCCAGCGGCGGCGGGAGGAGGGGAGUGCGUUUUCAUCACCCCAAGUUGGCCAAGCUCCGUGCCAGGUUUCAUCUUACUUCAUUCUGAUUAUCGACAUCUCACUGCCGAGGAAACAGACUUGCAGACACCGAUGAGAAAACUUAGGAGCCAGCUGGGGAGGGAGGACUGGCCCAAAGUCACAGUCAACAGGAGGAAGCGGCGCGCGCCUAGCUACGCAAAACCGUAUUGGACUCGGGGAGCCAGGGG